AGGAUGAACGCUGGCGGUGUGCCUAAUACAUGCAAGUCGAACGAGAUCUUCGGAUCUAGUGGCGGACGGGUGAGUAACACGUUGGUACCUACCCCGAAGUGGGGAAUAACUGCCCGAAAGGGUGGCUAAUACCGCAUAAUACCGCAAGGUUAAAGCAGUAAUGCGCUUCGGGAGGGGCCUGCGUCCCAUUAGCUAGUUGGUAGGGUAAUGGCCUACCAAGGCGACGAUGGGUAGCUGGAUCGAGAGGUUGACCAGCCACACUGGGACUGAGAUACGGCCCAGACUCCUACGGGAGGCAGCAGUAAGGAAUCUUCCACAAUGGACGAAAGUCUGAUGGAGCAACACCGCGUGCAGGAUGACGGUCUUCGGAUUGUAAACUGCUUUUAUAUGGGAAGAUUAUGACGGUACCAUAUGAAUAAGGACCGGCUAACUACGCGCCAGCAGCCGC
rnacentral:rRNA from 1 species